GAGCAGACGCACACUGACGUGGCCUUCAAUCUACGAGGACUGCAGGCUGAUGGAGAAGAGGAUCGAGGACUUCACUGACUCACUUUUCAUCUUGCUCAAGUCCAAGUGGCUGGAUAGGGCCCCCAACAAGUCUGGGGACAAGAUCCCCCUCAUCUGCACCUUGUUUGAGAAGGAGGAAUUCAUGGGACUGGACACAGACAGCAGGGCCCUGUGAUCUACACGCCUGCACACCCCUUCUGCUCCUUGGAGAUGAGGAGGUAGGUUUAGGAGCCUGGGCACUGCUGAGGGCACAGCUGCCAGCACUGUGCUGCACCGAGGCUGGCUCUGUUCACCUUACCUGUCACUUCCUUCUGAGCCCUCAGGCGUUAGUCAAGGAGGCCUGAGUUGCUGAUGAGAAGAGUUGAGGGUGGGCUGAAGAAGAGAUUGACACUCCCUCUCCUCCCGGCUGAAACUGAUGAACAAUGAAAUGAAUUAAGUGUAUCACUAUUUGACCAAUAGAAGUUAGCGAGCCCAAACUGGCUAGUUAUGCCCAAUGGAAAUUAUUGAUUUCACCUGCAGAGUUAGGUGCUUUACCAAGUAGAAGCAGCUUAGAGCAAUCAGAAAAAUCAGUCCUAUGAUGAGCUAUAAAAUGUAUAUAAUAUCUUUUAUUUCUGAAACUUUUCUACGUUAAGUUCUGU